CGAGACAGGGUUUCUCUGUGUAGUUUUGGUGCCUGUCCUGGAUCUCACUCUGUAGACCAGAAUGGCCUCAAACUCACAGAGAUCCGCCUGCCUCUGCCUCUCGAGUGCUGGGAUUAAAGGCGUGCGCCACCACCGCCCGGCCUAGGCUUGUUUUUAGAGCUAUGAGUCAUGGUUUUCAGCUAUUGCCCAAAGCUUCCUGUUCUACGCCAUUCGUACUGACCAGCUUUGUGUUAUGAUAAAGUUUAGGAGAUAGUUAGCUUAAAAGGAGAAAAACGCAAGCCAGCAGGGUGGCCCAGUGGGUAAAGGCAUCGCUCUAGGCCUGACAGGACCUGGGCUCAGUCUCCUUAUCCUGCCCCUCCCCACCCAAUGCCACAGGAGAGCCGACUCCGGCAGGUUGUCCUCUGAUCUCCAAAUGCACACUGUGGCCUGUUCACACACACUAAUAACAAUUAAAGAGGAAGAGUGAGCAACCGCACAGCUUUGCGUUUCUCAUCAGGGCACCAGAUGGCAGGGGCAGAGGCAACAAUCAAAAGGAGAGAGAAAGGAACCAGACCCCCAGGACUCAAAGAAACUUCCAGAAGGCCCCACCCCCUGAGGGUCCAUGGCACCUCCUAGUAGCAUGACCCUGGGCACUAAGAGGCCAGGACAGAGGCUGAAGGACUGUCAGAAAUUCAAGGCCAGCUUGGUCUACAUACCAAGUUCCAGGCCAGCCUGAGCUACAUAGCAAAGCCCUGCCUCACAAGUAAUUCAUUAGUUAAUGAAAAUAUCUGGUCCAUUUAUUCAUAACUGCUAAAACAGUAUUCAAGCAGGUUACCCUAGCAUCAAUCUUUUUAAUUUGGUUCCUAAGAUAACUCACUGAAAGGUUAGAGUGUGGUUGUCUCAGGAGUUCCUCUAAAAUCAGUGUGUCCUUGGCAAAGCAGGCUGAAUAAAGAGGAUGGAGGUGUGUGAUGUGAGCAGCUGACUUCAUGGCAUCAUUCAAUCACGAGUCAAUCAGCUGACACACGCUUGGAAGCCAAGCUCGGAAACCCAACGCCAACACCACAGAUGCGGCUUUAUUGUCCCACACAAUGAGGAGCUGGGAUGGGAAGCAGGGUUGGUCCAGCAGGUCAGCAGUGCCAUGCUGAACCAGGCUCCCAGCUCCUGCUCCGGACAUGGUCAGCACGAGGCCUUAUUCCCGGGGCCCCGUCUGCCCCCCCUCCCCCAACCAUUCCCGAACAAACCUUGUCUUCUCUAUCUCGGGGAAACAGGGACCAAGAGGACCGUUUUUCUUUGCCCAGACUUUGGCUAGGGCGGGGGUGCUUCUUUAGUACCUUGAAUCGAUCUGAUUGGCCAGAACUAUGUCACACUGCUGCUUUGGAAUGUAAAGGAAAACCAGAAAUGGAGGUUUUGUUUUGUUAAAAUCAAUGUUUAGCCAGGCAUGGUGGCACACAUCUUUAAUUCUAGUGCUUGAGAGGAGAAGCAGGAGGGUCUCUAUGAGUUCAAGGCCAGCCUGGUCUACAUAGAAAGUUCCAGGACUACAUAGAGAGACCCUGUCUUAAAAUAAUAGUAAUAAUGAUAAAAAACAAUAAUAGUUGUUGUUGUUGUUUUUAUUGGCUGGAGAGAUGGCUAAGUGGUUAAGAGCAUAUACUGCUCUUCCAGAGGACCUGAGUUCAAUUCCCAGCACCCACGUCAAGCAGCUUACAAUCACCUGUAACACCAGCUCCAGGGAGAAUCUCAUUCCUCUGGCCUUUGCAGGCACAAGUACUCAUACACACACACACACACACACACACACACACACACACCACUCUCUCUCUCACACAUAUGUGUAUAUAUGUUUAUAAUGAUUUGUUUUAUGUGAGUGAAAUUGGGCAUGACUGUGCCACAGCAUGUGAAGGCCCCAGACAUUUUACUGGAGCUGGUUUUUACGUCCACCUUGUUAUUAAGGCAGGGUCUCUUGUUUCUGCCAGGCUGGCUGCUCUAGGCUGGCUUCCCGUCCCUGCCUGCCAUCUUGCCCUAGGAGUGCCAGGAUCUCAGACGCACUCCACCUGAUCCAGGUUCUGGGAUGGAACUCAGAUCAACAGGCUUGCGUGGUUUCUCUGUGUAACAGCCCUGGCUGUCCUGGAACUCCCUCUGUAGACCAUGCUGGUCGCAAACUCAAAGAUCUGCAAGAAAGCUGGCUGAGCAAGCCAUGAGGAGCAAGCCAGUGAGCAGCACUCCCCCAUGGCCUCUGCAUCAGCUCCUGCCUCCAGAGUCCUGCCCUGCUUGAAAUUCUGUCCUGACUUCCUUUGGUGAUGAACAGCAAUAUGGAAGUAUAAGCUGAAUAAACCCUUUCCUCCCUAA